UACGAAGGGUGCAAGCGUUACUCGGAAUUACUGGGCGUAAAGCGUGCGUAGGUGGUUCGUUAAGUCUGAUGUGAAAGCCCUGGGCUCAACCUGGGAAUGGCAUUGGAUACUGGCGACCUAGAGUGCGGUAGAGGGGUGUGGAAUUCUCGGUGUAGCAGUGAAAUGCGUAGAUAUCGGGAGGAACAUCUGUGGCGAAGGCGACACCCUGGACCAGCACUGACACUGAGGCACGAAAGCGUGGGGAGCAAACAGG
rnacentral:rRNA from 1 species